rnacentral:rRNA from 1 species
AGAGUUUGAUCAUGGCUCAGAUUGAACGCUGGCGGCAGGCCUAACACAUGCAAGUCGAACGGUAACAGGAAGCAGCUUGCUGCUUCGCUGACGAGUGGCGGACGGGUGAGUAAUGUCUGGGAAGCUGCCUGAUGGAGGGGGAUAACUACUGGAAACGGUAGCUAAUACCGCAUAAUGUCGCAAGACCAAAGAGGGGGACCUUCGGGCCUCUUGCCAUCGGAUGUGCCCAGAUGGGAUUAGCUUGUUGGUGGGGUAACGGCUCACCAAGGCGACGAUCCCUAGCUGGUCUGAGAGGAUGACCAGCCACACUGGAACUGAGACACGGUCCAGACUCCUACGGGAGGCAGCAGUGGGGAAUAUUGCACAAUGGGCGCAAGCCUGAUGCAGCCAUGCCGCGUGUAUGAAGAAGGCCUUCGGGUUGUAAAGUACUUUCAGCGGGGAGGAAGGGAGUAAAGUUAAUACCUUUGCUCAUUGACGUUACCCGCAGAAGAAGCACCGGCUAACUCCGUGCCAGCAGCCGCGGUAAUACGGAGGGUGCAAGCGUUAAUCGGAAUUACUGGGCGUAAAGCGCACGCAGGCGGUUUGUUAAGUCAGAUGUGAAAUCCCCGGGCUCAACCUGGGAACUGCAUCUGAUACUGGCAAGCUUGAGUCUCGUAGAGGGGGGUAGAAUUCCAGGUGUAGCGGUGAAAUGCGUAGAGAUCUGGAGGAAUACCGGUGGCGAAGGCGGCCCCCUGGACGAAGACUGACGCUCAGGUGCGAAAGCGUGGGGAGCAAACAGGAUUAGAUACCCUGGUAGUCCACGCCGUAAACGAUGUCGACUUGGAGGUUGUGCCCUUGAGGCGUGGCUUCCGGAGCUAACGCGUUAAGUCGACCGCCUGGGGAGUACGGCCGCAAGGUUAAAACUCAAAUGAAUUGACGGGGGCCCGCACAAGCGGUGGAGCAUGUGGUUUAAUUCGAUGCAACGCGAAGAACCUUACCUGGUCUUGACAUCCACGGAAGUUUUCAGAGAUGAGAAUGUGCCUUCGGGAACCGUGAGACAGGUGCUGCAUGGCUGUCGUCAGCUCGUGUUGUGAAAUGUUGGGUUAAGUCCCGCAACGAGCGCAACCCUUAUCCUUUGUUGCCAGCGGUCCGGCCGGGAACUCAAAGGAGACUGCCAGUGAUAAACUGGAGGAAGGUGGGGAUGACGUCAAGUCAUCAUGGCCCUUACGACCAGGGCUACACACGUGCUACAAUGGCGCAUACAAAGAGAAGCGACCUCGCGAGAGCAGGCGGACCUCAUAAAGUGCGUCGUAGUCCGGAUUGGAGUCUGCAACUCGACUCCAUGAAGUCGGAAUCGCUAGUAAUCGUGGAUCAGAAUGCCACGGUGAAUACGUUCCCGGGCCUUGUACACACCGCCCGUCACACCAUGGGAGUGGGUUGCAAAAGAAGUAGGUAGCUUAACCUUCGGGAGGGCGCUUACCACUUUGUGAUUCAUGACUGGGGUGAAGUCGUAACAAGGUAACCGUAGGGGAACCUGCGGUUG